rnacentral:rRNA from 1 species
CUACGGGAGGCAGCAGUGAGGAAUUUUGGUCAAUGGACGGAAGUCUGAACCAGCCAAGUCGCGUGAAGGAAGGCGGCCCUAAGGGUUGUAAACUUCUUUUGUAAGGGAAUAAAGUGCGUUACGUGUAGUGCAUUGCAAGUACCUUACGAAUAAGGAUCGGCUAACUCCGUGCCAGCAGCCGCGGUAAUACGGAGGAUCCGAGCGUUAUCCGGAUUUAUUGGGUUUAAAGGGUGCGCAGGCGGGGGAUUAGGUCGGCGGUGAAAUAUCAGGGCUCAACCUUGAGAGUGCCGUCGAAACCGGUUUUCUUGAGUGCGGAUGAAGUAGGCGGAAUUUGUGGUGUAGCGGUGAAAUGCGUAGAUAUCACAAAGAACACCGAUUGCGGAGGCAGCUUACUAAACCGCAACUGACGCUCAUGCACGAAGGCGUGGGGAUCAAACAGGAUUAGAUACCCUUGUAGUCC